CUCCUCACUGCCUGUAGAACUAUAGCUGCAUCCACUGGAUCUUCUGCAGAACAUUGUGACAGCCUAACAGCAGACAUCUCAGAUGAUGUGGAGGGGACUUCACACUCCCGUGAGGGACAGAGCUCAUUCAUCAUCUCUCCGCCUGGGUGAAGCAGUCAGCAGAACUGGAGAGGAAGCAAGUGAAACCACCUUGGAUCAAGUUCAGCUGAAUUCCUUGAGGAAGGACUUUUUAAACUUCAGAGAUUCUUGUUGCAGUGUGGUACCUGUCUCAAAAGGACAUGCCAAUAGGAUAAUGCACUGAUGUCAAGACUGGUUGUACUCUUGUCUGCAGAAGGAGCUAAAACUGGAAGUGGAACCGCUUUGAUUAUCAUAGAGAAGAUAUGAUGAGAGAGAUUUGCAGAACACUGUGGGCUGCACAUCUGACAGCUGAUUGGUGCAUCCUGAUGUUAUGAAUACAGC